rnacentral:misc_RNA from 1 species
AAGUCGUAACAAGGUAUCCGUAGGUGAACCUGCGGAUGGAUCAUUAAUGUGCAAUAAUGUGUUUGGGUGUGACAAAAACUCCAUUCCCAGGCAUUUCCUCCUUGUGUUGUGUGUGGUUGUUGUUGUGUGCGUGUUGUGUGUGUGUGCGCGAGGGCAAUCUUGCGCGCAUAUAUGCACACACACACUCAUGAUUUUAGCACCUUUUUUUGCUUUUGUGUCUUACACACUCUUGCAAGGGCUCGUAAAAGAGCCCGCAAAGUACUCAUAAAACUGCCAGCAAUGGAUCACUCGGUUCUC